UACGUAGGGAGCAAGCGUUGUCCGGAAUCAUUGGGCGUAAAGCGCGCGUAGGUGGCCCGGUAAGUCCGCUCUGAAAGUCACAGGCUCAACCUGUGAAAGCGGGUGGAUACUGCCGGGCUAGAGUCCGGAAGAGGCGAGUGGAAUUCCUAGUGUAGAGGUGAAAUUCGUAGAUAUUAGGAAGAACACCAGUGGCGAAGGCGGCUCACUGGCCCGGUACUGACGCUGAGGCGCGAAAGCGUGGGGAGCAAACAGG
rnacentral:rRNA from 1 species